ensembl:lncRNA
CCUAGCACAUGCUCUGCUAUAUACUGACCUAGCACUGGGUUACUGAAAUGACUCCAUUCCAAAUAACUCCAUUUAAAUAUAUAUAUAUAUAUAUAUAUAUAUAACACAUGUAAUUUCCAUAAGUACUGUAGUUAUGAGCAGUGUCUUACUAAUGUAGCUAGUUCAUGACACUGCUGAGAGGUUUGUGGUUUAUGUUUAGGUUUAUGGUUUUUGAGACAGCUUGUUGUAGAGUUUGACUGGGCAGAGCAUUUUACAGCUGGUUAGCCUUUUCCAUUUACUUUACAGCAGGUUAGCCUCUCCCUUUUACUUUAUAGCAGGUCAGCCCCAUCUAUUCACUGUAUGGCAGGUUAGCCUCACCCUUUUACUUUACAGCAGGUUAGCCCCGCCCAUUCAUUUUACAGCAGGUUAGCCCCGUCCAUUCACUUUACAGCAGGUUAGCCUCACCCUGUUACUUUACGGCAGGUUAGCCGCACCCUGUUACUUUACGGCAGGUUAGCCUCACCCUGUUACUUUACGGCAGGUCAGCCUCGCCCUUUUUCUUUAUGGCAGGUCAGCCCCACCCAUUCACUUUCCAGUGGGUCAGCCCUGCUUUUUAGCUUUACAGUAAGUUAGCUCAGCCCAUUAAAGUUAUAGCAGGAUAGACCCACUCAGUCACUUUACAGCAGCUUAACCUUGCUCAUUAGAAUUAGUAACUAUUGGGGAAAAUACAUUUUCACACAGGCCCAGUUGGUAUUUAAUAACUUUUUGCUUCAAUAAAUAACAUUAUCAUUUAAAAAUGAUAUUUGUGUUAACUCAGGUUGCCUUUGUUUUAUCUUAGAUUUGUUUUAAUUUCUGAAACAAUUUAGUACAGCAAAAACACAGCUAAAGUUAAAUGAAAAGCACAAUACAACUAGACUACGUAUCAUUCCAUUGGAUCAGCCUUUCAGCUACGUGCUUAAAUUGAAUAGAUAACUCUGUGUGUAUAAUGGCCUACUGUGUGGUUACUUUUCAACUCAGUGUGAUUCCUAAAAUCAUGCUGCUAAAAUCAUACAGCUGUAGUUGUGCCCUGUUUCUCAAAUAUGAAAUAUAUUCAGCAUGAACCUGUUUCUGAAGCCUCCAAUUUAGGGGUUUAUUCAGCAAGUCCUUCAGAUUAGGAUUACUUGUCUAGGGAGAUAGGAUGAGACAAAAAGAUAAAAAGCGGCCAUCUUUAUCAAACUCAGGCAGUUAAGACGUAUCAUUGCAGUAGAUGGAGACUAAUGUGAUCUCAAUGUGAAUCAAUACUGAAGUGAAGGUGAAUAAUCAGUAGAAUUUGAACAGAUCAAUAGAUCACAAUAAGGAAGUGUACGUACAUGAAAGGUAAGAGCCCUGCAUGCCGUUACACUGUAUCUUGCAGAAACUAGAUUGGUCUAAAAAGUGAACACUGAGUUAUUAUUUAUAUAUAUAUUUUUACUGUAUUGUUUGUAAGAGUUAUGUUCUCUUCACAAAAUAACAUUUUAGUAGCAUUAAACGAUUGCCAUGUCACGAACAGAAAUAGGUUUUAUACCUUGCAAUCAUGCCUGCCAAACCUGAGGUUCACACAGUCUAAUUAACACCUACUGUACAGUGUUGAAUUAUCUCUUACUGUGUUGAAGUUCCAGACAGUAUAGUGUAAAAUAGAAGGGUACGUCAACCCAUAAUGAAUUACGCAAAAGAUUAACAAAUUCUUUUAGCACAAGUAAUUUAAUAUUACGCAAAUAUACUACGUCAACCUAGAAACUUUUCACAGUCAACUCAUGGAUCACACCCCUUCUACAGGCUGAAACGUCCACCUCGAUUCAUGAUGAAAUAGGGGAUUUUGGUUUUCUAGUACAGUAUGUAUCAGUGGGUGGUGACCUUUCAACUGUUGACGCCCCCAAACACAGAACACAGCUCUGCGACAUAAAUACGGCAACUUCUCAGAGUCCGGAGUAUCACACAUCACUCAUUAUGGACCAUUUGAACGAAUAUAUGAAUGAACCAUUCACGAUAUGUAUUUCUCUCACCCACGCCUCUCAAUUCAUCACAAAC